GAUCCAGCAUGCCGCGUGAGUGAUGAAGGCCUUAGGGUUGUAAAGCUCUUUUACCCGGGAUGAUAAUGACAGUACCGGGAGAAUAAGCUCCGGCUAACUCCGUGCCAGCAGCCGCGGUAAUACGGAGGGAGCUAGCGUUGUUCGGAAUUACUGGGCGUAAAGCGUACGUAGGCGGCUUUGUAAGUAAGAGGUGAAAGCCUGGAGCUCAACUCCGGAACUGCCUUUUAAACUGCAUCGCUUGAAUCCUGGAGAGGUGAGUGGAAUUCCGAGUGUAGAGGUGAAAUUCGUAGAUAUUCGGAAGAACACCAGUGGCGAAGGCGGCUCACUGGACAGGUAUUGACGCUGAGGUACGAAAGCGUGGGGAGCAAACAGGAUUAGAUACCCUGGUAGUCCACGCCGUAAACGAUGAUAACUAGCUGUCUGGGUACUUGGUACUUAGGUGGCGCAGCUAACGCAUUAAGUUAUCCGCCUGGGGAGUACGGUCGCAAGAUUAAAACUCAAAUGAAUUGACGGAUACUACUUC
rnacentral:rRNA from 1 species